CGUUCUUUCGAUAGAAGAGCAGGGGUCCACCUUCAGGAAUUUGGGGCUCUGUUGAAGGUGUUGGUCCCCGCGGUGGGGGCUGAACAGCCCCGGGGCGUGAGGAGACAAAGAACUCCAGAUCCAAGCUGAUUCCUUCCCGAGUUGGAAGUCGGAGCCGCCGCUGUCUUGUAGUAGAGGAGACGACUUUACCAUGAACAACUCAUAGAGACCACUGGGAUUUGGAGCAGGAAAGCAAGUAUAUAUGUUACGAGUAUAUAUCCGGUUCCCGCUUGGCUAACUGGGAGGUUAGACCCAUGAGCCUGCUUUCAGUUCAAGGGGCUUUAUUUGGAGAGAAGAGAAAGAAGCAUUCUGUGAAACUACUUUCCUCUCAUGACCUUUACCAAGUCCUGGGGAGUGGAGACAUCAGAAGACUUCUCCAGUAGAGAGAGAGAGCAAGGGGAGUAGCAGAGGGAGAGGGACAAACAGACUCCUCACUGAGUGCAGAGCCCAACGUGGAACUCGAACCAAGGACCCUAAGACCAGGACCACAGCUGAAACCAAGAGACAGACUCUCAACCAACUGAGCCACCCAGAUAUUCCACUAUAAUGAAUUCUUGGGAUCUCGAGUGGGGAGAGAAGAGGAAGAAGCAUAUGUGAAUUAGAACAUCAGAGAAAGGUGUGGAGUGUAGGCCCUCCAAACAGGAGCUGAUAGAGAAGAACCAAGUAUAAUGUCCAGUGUGCUAGUCAGUUUCCUGGAGCAAGAAUGAAGACAUCGGGUUCCCAUCAUUGGGAAACGUUAGAUUUUAUUUAUUUAACAGAGAGAGACUAUGAGUGUGCAGC